CCUACGGGAGGCAGCAGUGGGGAAUAUUGGUCAAUGGGCGCGACCCUGAACCAGCCAAGCAGCGUGAAGGAUGACUGCCCUCCGGGUUGUAAACUUCUUUUAUAAAGGAGUAAAGUGAGGCACGUGUGCCUUUUUGUAUGUACUUUAUGAAUAAGGAUCGGCUAACUCCGUGCCAGCAGCCUCGGUAAUACGGAGGGUCCGAGCGUUAUCCGGAUUUAUUGGGUUUAAAGGGAGCGUAGAUGGGUUGGUAAGUCAGUUGUGAAAGUUUGCGGAGCAACCGUAAAAUUGCAAUUGAUACUGGCAGUCUGGAGUACAGUUGAGGUAGGCGGAAUUCGUGGUGUAGCGGUGAAAUGCUUAGAUAUCACGAAGAACUCCGAUUGCGAAGGCAGCUUACUAAACUGCCACUGACAUUGAUGCUCGAAAGCGUGGGUAUCAAACAGGAUUAGAUACCCGGGUAGUC
rnacentral:rRNA from 1 species